AGCCGGCAGCCCAGCAGAUGAGACACGCGGGGACGAGGACAAACGAGACCUGUCAGGACCUGACAGCAGCCUAGUUCGCAGUCGGAAAGCUCUCCGAGUUAAAAACACUGACUGACUUUAAUUGGCCUUUCGGGUUUGCUGGAGAAGGCGCGAGAGCGAUUUUUGCAGCGCUGUUUGACGCCAGGCUGCUCCCCGGUACACCGCAGCGUCCCUCGGGAAGCACGCUGCUGUAGAGUUGCCUAGAGGCUGUUCGUGAAUGUCAAACUUGAUCUGGCUUCAAUAUCCCGUUUUGAAAUACUUUUGCUCUCAAGAAAUUGAGCUCUUCUUAAAUAACAAAUGAGAGAAUGAACUCCGGAAUAGAAAAGAGUUGCUCGACAGGACGGCUAUGUUAAAGGCUCUAUUCACGCAUUCGGCAUUUCCGGAAGAACAUUUAUUUUUAGAGAGGGUUUUUUUAAUCACGUAGUAUUCUAAACUGGUGCUUUAAACUUCGUUUUAAAACCACUUCUGAAAUUUUGUACUAGAAAUGGACUUCCUACCAAGAAGCAUCUUUGAAAAAAAUAGCGUAUGAUCCUGUACCUAAGGUGGUUACAAUAAUGUUGACAUACAAAUAAACGCUUUCCUGGUUUCUUAGCA